UACGUAGGUGGCGAGCGUUGUCCGGAAUUACUGGGUGUAAAGGGCGUGUAGGCGGGUCUGCAAGUCAGAUGUGAAAUUCCGGGGCUUAACCCCGGCGCUGCAUUUGAAACUGCGGGUCUUGAGUAUCGGAGAGGGAAGUGGAAUUCCUAGUGUAGCGGUGAAAUGCGUAGAUAUUAGGAGGAACACCAGUGGCGAAGGCGACUUUCUGGACGAUAACUGACGCUGAGGCGCGAAAGCGUGGGGAGCAAACAGG
rnacentral:rRNA from 1 species